AGUGAACGCUGGCGGUAGGCCUAACACAUGCAAGUCGAACGGCAGCACAGUAAGAGCUUGCUCUUACGGGUGGCGAGUGGCGGACGGGUGAGGAAUACAUCGGAAUCUACUUUUUCGUGGGGGCUAACGUAGGGAAACUUACGCUAAUACCGCAUACGACCUACGGGUGAAAGCAGGGGAUCUUCGGACCUUGCGCGAUUGAAUGAGCCGAUGUCGGAUUAGCUAGUUGGCGGGGUAAAGGCCCACCAAGGCCACGAUCCGUAGCUGGUCUGAGAGGAUGGUCAGCCACACUGGAACUGAGACACGGUCCAGACUCCUACGGGAGGCAGCAGUGGGGAAUAUUGGACAAUGGGCGCAAGCCUGAUCCAGCCAUACCGCGUGGGUGAAGAAGGCCUUCGGGUUGUAAAGCCCUUUUGUUGGGAAAGAAAAGCAGCAGGUUAAUACCCCGCUGUUCUGACGGUACCCAAAGAAUAAGCACCGGCUAACUUCGUG
rnacentral:rRNA from 1 species